AGCUUGUGAAGUGUGCAACUUCCCCAGCAUGCUGAUUGCCUUGGCAUUCAUCCCUCAGAGUCAUAAGGCCUAAAGCUGUGACUGUCCAACAGUCAUUUUACUCUGCCAUGUUUCCUGGCAAAACGGGGAUUCCUGCAUUGGUGUGCAAAAAUGGAAAACUGCCUUCAUCUCUCAUCUGUUUGGAAAGUGCUUCUCUUGCUGGCCAGGAAACCAGGCAGCUGGUGUCCACUGAGCCCCUUCACAUGCUCCAGCUCUUUCAGACAGAUGUUGCUCUUCCAGAAGUCUAACAUUGGGAUUGUUCCUGUAAGUGGUACAUGGAAGACAAGCACAGGCAACCCCUACUAGUUGCAAUCAAAGAAAUCAUGGAUGAUGCUGGUGAGGUAUCUAGAAUAGUAAUUAUAUGCUGUCCUCAGCUGUCUUUCUGGGAUAUAUCCAUCCAUCAGCUUUUACCUUUUUUUCUUAUGAAUUGCUGACUUUAAUGACUAUAUACAAGGAUUUAAUUAAUUAGUUAAGUUUAGCAAAAGAUAGUAGGGCAUUCAGUGGCUUCAUAGGAGUUAAAUGUAAUCUAAUUUUGAUGUAUAUUUUUCCUCUGCCAUUUUUUGCUCUAUAUAUGCCAUCUGAAAUCCUAACUUGAAAAUCAAAGGCAGAACAGAUACAUACUCAUGU
rnacentral:lncRNA from 1 species